GACGAACGCUGGCGGCGUGCUUAACACAUGCAAGUCGAACGAUGAACCGGGUGCUUGCACUUGGGGAUUAGUGGCGAACGGGUGAGUAACACGUGAGUAACCUGCCCUGGACUCUGGGAUAACCCCGAGAAAUCGGAGCUAAUACCGGAUAGGACCUUUCCUCGCAUGAGGUUUGGUGGAAAGUUUUUCGGUCUGGGAUGGACUCGCGGCCUAUCAGCUUGUUGGUGAGGUAAUGGCUCACCAAGGCGUCGACGGGUAGCCGGCCUGAGAGGGUGACCGGCCACACUGGGACUGAGACACGGCCCAGACUCCUACGGGAGGCAGCAGUGGGGAAUAUUGCACAAUGGGCGCAAGCCUGAUGCAGCAACGCCGCGUGCGGGAUGACGGCCUUCGGGUUGUAAACCGCUUUUAGUAGGGAAGAAGGGCUUCGGCUUGACGGUACCUGCAGAAAAAGGACCGGCUAACUACGUGCCAGCAGCCGCCGUAAUAC
rnacentral:rRNA from 1 species